ACUAGUUAUGACGCCACAAGACCACCAGAUCUGCUUUUCGGUGCAGCUUCAUUUCAACUUUUCACUUCCCUUUUUAAAGCUUUCUCUAAUUGCUUUAAGGACUAGAUCCUUUGCUUCCUGUAAAUUUUCACUCCUUAAGAGUUAAAUUCAGAUAAAUGAUUGCUAUUUCCAUCUAAAAGCACCAAUGAAUGUGAUAUUCUUUUCGGAUCUUUUACUAAUAAAGCUUA